ACAUAAAUGGGCCUCUUCUACGAAUGCAGCUCCGCCGCUCCAUCCGUCAACAAGACCGAAUACUUCAGCUCCGCCUGACCCACACGUCAGCUCUGUAGAAGGCGGCCCGCACACCAGAGCGUUCGACCCCACCCGGUGCCGGGCGUCUCCACUCGCGCUCGCGCACCGCUUGGCCUCUCCUCCGCCGCCUCCCACUUCCGUGCUCCCCGCUCCGGCGAAUUGGUGCCCACCUGCGAGCUCGCCCCGUUAUAGUGCACUGCAUUAAAGGCACUGCGAUCCUUCCUUUUGUAUCUGGGUUAUUCUUGAAGAAUUAAUUUUCACUCUGGAGGAAAAAUGAGUGGUCCUCCAAAGAGGUUGCAUGAGGAGAGUAGCCACUCUACACCUGCAAAGCGGCCUUUGGACGACAACAGCUUGUACUCAAGCCCUUCUGGGAAAGCUAUUCAGUCAAGCAGCAGUGAUUUCCAUGGUUUUUUUGAACAUGAUGGUAGAUUUGCCAAAAUUCAACGUGUUGAGGCUCGUGAUGAUAAGAGGCCACCCCUUGUCCAUCGGAUGCAUGGUAGCUCCAACUUUGUUGAUCACACCGUCUUGUCUGACAGCAGAUUAGAACCAAAGCACAAUAAAGAUACAAGGGACAAUAAGGCGGAUGAUCGUGACACAAAAGCUGAUGCUCGGGAUGUCUAUAGUGAUCCCAGUAUUGAGUUUCAGUUUAAUAAAAUUGACAGUGAUGUAAAAAUAGACAAUAGAGCUGAUGGAAAUGAAAUAAGGGCUGACAGGAGGGGUCACCACGAUUACAAAGGUGAUACUAAAUUUGACAAGGAUAAUCAUCCUAUUGUUGCAUCGAGCUUAGGCUGGAAAGACAACAAAGAACAUAGGGGCAAAAGGUACUUUGAGCAGCCAUCUGAUAAUGCGGAUUGGCGUUUCCCCCGUCCCGGUUUGCAAGGUACUGAUGAAACUCUCAAAGGUCUAACUUCCAUGGAAGACCGUAAUUCAAGAGAUGCACAUGAUUCUGCUUUUGACAACAAAGCUGAAUCAAAAGGUGAAGAUAAGUUUAGAGACAAGGAUAGGAAAAAGAAGGAUGAGAAACAUAGAGACUUUGGUUCAAGAGAAGGUGAGAGAAAUGAUCGUCGGACCGGUAUCCAGCUUGGAGGUAGUGGAGUUGAGCGAAGAGAAAUGCAAAGGGAAGAGAGGGAUGCUGAAAAAUGGGACAGGGAAAGAAAAGAUUCCUUGAGAGACAAGGAAGGCAAUGAUAGGGAAAAGGAUUCUGCUAAGAAAGAUCCAUCUAUGGUAAUGGAAAAGGAUAACACAAUAGUUGAAAAACUUUUAUCUGAUGGACCUGUUAAAAAUGCUGAACAUGAGAAUACAACAACAGAAACUAAGGUGCUUAAGGACGAUGCAUGGAAAGGUCAUGACAGGGAUCCUAAAGACAAGAAAAGAGAGAAGGAUUUGGAUGCAGGAGACAGGCAUGAGCAAAGAAGCAAAUAUAAUGACAAGGAAUCAGAUGAUAAUGGCACCGAAGGUGAUACAGAAAAAGAUAAAGAUGUUUUUGGAAGUGUUCAACGCAGGAGGAUGGUGCGACCAAGGGGAGGUGGUAGCCAAGCAUCUCAACGUGAUCCCCGAUUUCGAUCCCGAACGCGUGAUGGCGAAGGGGCUCAAGGUAAAUCUGAGGUUUCUGCCAUUCUUUAUAAAGCCGGAGAGUGCAUGCAGGAGCUUCUGAAAUCAUGGAAAGAUUUUGAAGCAACUCAGGAGGCUACAAAUGUUGAAAGUCUACAAAACGGUCCUACUCUUGAAAUUCGGAUACCUGCCGAAUUUGUUACUUCCACUAAUCGUCAAGUAAAGGGUGCUCAACUUUGGGGAACAGAUAUAUAUACAAAUGAUUCAGAUCUUGUGGCUGUGCUAAUGCAUACUGGCUAUUGCUCGCCUACGUCCUCCCCUCCCCCAUCUGCCAUCCAAGAGCUUCAUGCAACUGUUCAAGUUCUACCACCACAAGAGAGUUAUACUUCAACAUUGAGGAACAACGUACGCUCACGUGCUUGGGGUGCUGGGAUUGGUUGUAGCUUCCGCAUAGAACGCUGCUGCAUAGUUAAGAAAGGCGGUGGCACCAUUGAUCUUGAACCACGCCUUAGUCACACAUCAGCUGUGGAGCCUACACUUGCUCCAGUUGCGGUUGAGCGCACAAUGACGACAAGAGCUGCAGCUUCCAAUGCAUUGCGACAACAAAGAUUUGUCCGUGAAGUGACAAUACAGUACAACCUCUGCAACGAGCCAUGGUUAAAAUAUAGUAUAAGCAUUGUGGCAGACAAGGGAUUGAAAAAGUCACUUUAUACUUCUGCUAGACUGAAGAAAGGAGAAGUAAUAUAUUUGGAGACACAUUUUAAUAGUCUCCACAGGUACGAGCUGUGCUUCAGUGGAGAGAAGCCUCGGGGUAUUGGAUCGAGCUCUAAUGCAUCUGAUGCAGAACCUGAGAAACACCAGAGCAGUAGUCACCAUUCGCAAAACGGCUCUGUGGAGCAUGAACUCCGGGAUGUGUUCCGAUGGUCCCGGUGUAAGAAGGCCAUGCCUGAAAGUGCCAUGCGCUCCACUGGUAUCCCACUACCAGCAGAUCAGCUCGAGGUGUUGCAGGAUAACCUAGAAUGGGAGGACGUGCAGUGGUCGCAGACCGGUGUUUGGGUGGCUGGGAAGGAGUAUCCCCUCGCCCGAGUUCACUUCCUCUCCGGGAACUAGCAGCAGCUGAUGUUGCAGCCAACGAAGGAGCUAUCGUUUCCUGUGGACAGGAGAGGAGCUUGCCAACAUUAUAAGGUCGAUCCGGCCACCCUCUAUGAGUCCCUUGACGGACUUGUACCGAAGAACAUACAAGUCAUCAGCAACCAGGUCCACAACCUCCUCUCCACUUCACGAAAGCAAGCAUCAUAGGUCAGCAGAGCUUGAAAACGCGCAAAGCAAGAAUUGUGUGUGUGUGUGUGUAGCUACUUACAUGUCAUCUAGCUGGAAUGCACCUACGUCGCCCUUGGUCUUACAGAAGACGAAGGUGUCAAGCUGAGGCUCCGGCACUGAACAUGGUAUUUGAAAACAGAAUCAGAUGGCUGCUAGUAGCCGAUUACAUGAACAUCUCUGAAAGCACGCUUGCUGCAUAUCAUUAUUAUAUUAAAUUAUACUACUGUUUUCAGUAA